UACGUAGGUGGCGAGCGUUGUCCGGAUUUACUGGGCGUAAAGGGAGCGUAGGCGGACUUUUAAGUGAGAUGUGAAAUACUCGGGCUCAACUUGAGUGCUGCAUUUCAAACUGGAAGUCUUGAGUGCAGGAGAGGAGAGUGGAAUUCCAUGUGUAGCGGUGAAAUGCGUAGAUAUAUGGAGGAACACCGGUGGCGAAAGCGGCUCUCUGGCCUGUAACUGACACUGAGGCUCGAAAGCGUGGGGAGCAAACAGG
rnacentral:rRNA from 1 species